AACCUGUUUCAUACAAAUGUUAGGUGGUGCUUAUAUGUAAAUGCAAGGAUGGUAGUCUAGGAGAAAAAGGAAUUUUAUUAGUAGUGAGGGGUUAAAACCUGUUUCAUACAAAUGUUAGGUGGUGCUUAUAUGUAAAUGCAAGAAUGGUAGUCUAGAAGAAAAAUGAAUUUUAUUAGUAGUGAGGGGUUAAAAACCUGUUUCAUACAAAUGUUAGGUGGAAAUCAAGUGCUGCUUGUGGUGGUUUAGUUACUAAGUCGUGUCCUACUCUUGUGACCCUCCGGACUGUAGCCCGCCAGGCUCCUCCGUCCAUGGGACUCUCUAGGCAAGAAUGCUGGAAUGAGUUGCCAUUUAAACAUAAUACUUCAGUUUGCAUCAAGGAAAAAGAGCUGAGGUUGCCUGAAAAUGGGAAAAACUAAUAUAUUUUUUAAAAAUUCUACUUAUUGAGACAUGUGUAAAUGAAUUUACUUAUGGUUUUAAAAACUUGAUCACAGAUAAGCCCCGCUUUAAAGAAAUGUGUUGGUCAGAACCCCACUCACUGUCACAGUGAGGAGUGAUCCUAGACCAUUAUACGGCCC
ensembl:lncRNA